UACGAAGGGUGCAAACGUUGCUCGGAAUUAUUGGGCGUAAAGCGCACGUAGGCGGCUUAGCAAGUCGGAAGUGAAAUCCCUCGGCUCAACCAAGGAAGUGCUUUCGAAACUGCUGAGCUUGAGUACGAAAGAGGAUCGCGGAAUUCCCGGUGUAGAGGUGAAAUUCGUAGAUAUCAGGAGGAACACCGGUGGCGAAGGCGGGUCUCUGGGCCGAUACUGACGCUGAGGAGCGAAAGCGUGGGGAGCGAACAGG
rnacentral:rRNA from 1 species